UACGUAGGGUGCGAGCGUUGUCCGGAAUUAUUGGGCGUAAAGAGCUUGUAGGCGGUCUGUCGCGUCUGCUGUGAAAAUCCGGGGCUCAACCCCGGACUUGCAGUGGGUACGGGCAGACUAGAGUGUGGUAGGGGAGACCGGAAUUCCUGGUGUAGCGGUGAAAUGCGCAGAUAUCAGGAGGAACACCGAUGGCGAAGGCAGGUCUCUGGGCCACUACUGACGCUGAGAAGCGAGAGCAUGGGGAGCGAACAGG
rnacentral:rRNA from 1 species